AUUGAACGCUGGCGGCAGGCUUAACACAUGCAAGUCGAGCGGAGUGAUGGUGCUUGCACUACCACUUAGCGGCGGACGGGUGAGUAAUGCUUAGGAAUCUGCCAUUUAGUGGGGGACAACAUUCCGAAAGGAAUGCUAAUACCGCAUACGUCCUACGGGAGAAAGCAGGGGAUCUUCGGACCUUGCGCUAAAUGAUGAGCCUAAGUCGGAUUAGCUAGUUGGUGGGGUAAAGGCCUACCAAGGCGACGAUCUGUAGCGGGUCUGAGAGGAUGAUCCGCCACACUGGGACUGAGACACGGCCCAGACUGCUACGGGAGGCGGCAGUGGGGAAUAUUGGACAAUGGGCGGAAGCCUGAUCCAGCCAUGCCGCGUGUGUGAAGAAGGCCUUUUGGUUGUAAAGCACUUUAGGCGAGGAGGAGGCUACUAGUACUAAUACUACUGGAUAGUGGACGUUACUCGCAGAAUAAGCACCGGCUAACUCUGUGCCAGCCGCCGCCGUAACAC
rnacentral:rRNA from 1 species